UACGUAGGAGGCGAGCGUUGUCCGGAAUUACUGGGUGUAAAGGGCGCGUAGGCGGCCGAUCAAGUCGGGGGUGAAAGCCUGUGGCUCAACCACAGAAUUGCCUUCGAUACUGUUUGGCUUGAGACCGGAAGAGGUUAGUGGAACUGCGAGUGUAGAGGUGAAAUUCGUAGAUAUUCGCAAGAAUACCAGUGGCGAAGGCGGCUGACUGGUCCGGUUCUGACGCUGAGGCGCGAAAGCGUGGGGAGCAAACAGG
rnacentral:rRNA from 1 species